ensembl:rRNA 5S_rRNA 5S ribosomal RNA
GUCUAUAGCCAUACCACCCUAAAAGUGCCUGAUCUAGUCUGAUCUUGGAAGUUAAGCAGGGUCAGGCAUCAUGAGUACUUCAAUGGGAGAAAAUAAUUCUAUAGUCU